AAAACUUUCAACAACGGAUCUCUUGGUUCUGGCAUCGAUGAAAAACGCAGCGAAAUGCGAUAAGUAAUGUGAAUUGCAAAAUUCAGUGAAUCAUCGAAUCUUUGAACGCACAUUGCGCCCCUUGGUAUUCCGGGGGGCAUGCCUGUUCGAGCGUCAU
rnacentral:rRNA from 1 species